GAAGGUCCCCCACAUUGGAACUGAGACACGGUCCAAACUCCUACGGGAGGCAGCAGUGAGGAAUAUUGGUCAAUGGGCGAGAGCCUGAACCAGCCAAGUAGCGUGCAGGACGACGGCCCUAUGGGUUGUAAACUGCUUUUAUAAGGGAAUAGAGUGAGUCUCGUGAGACUUUUUGCAUGUACCUUAUGAAUAAGGACCGGCUAAUUCCGUGCCAGCAGCCGCGGUAAUACGGAAGGUCCGGGCGUUAUCCGGAUUUAUUGGGUUUAAAGGGAGCGUAGGCCGGAGAUUAAGCGUGUUGUGAAAUGUAGACGCUCAACGUCUGCACUGCAGCGCGAACUGGUUUCCUUGAGUACGCACAACGUAGGCGGAAUUCGUGGUGUAGCGGUGAAAUGCUUAGAUAUCACGAAGAACUCCGAUUGA
rnacentral:rRNA from 1 species